AAAAGGAGUUGUGUGAGACAGCAGAGCACUUCAGGGUCAAGAACUCAGUCCCUACAAUCAAGGCAGGAUCGAGUAUUGUGGAGAGAACCGGUGCCUCUAGUGAGUGGCUGCCCAGGUUACAGACUUGAAGCUAUGUUCACAAAUGCUCUGAAGACAGAACUUUUAUAUUUUGAAAGUGGAGUUAUGCUGCCGAUCAAGUUGCCUAUGACUAACGCACAAGGAUCAAGAAUGCUGACUUAGUUCACAGGUCACUGGAUCAAGAGAUGGCCACACCCAGAGUUAUGCAGAUAACUCCACAUGCCCCAGAAGUCCAGAUCACCUCGGAGGUGCUGAAUACAGUGAGC